GACGAACGCUGGCGGCGUGCUUAACACAUGCAAGUCGAACGGAAAGGCCCCCAUCUUGGUGGGGGUGCUCGAGUGGCGAACGGGUGAGUAACACGUGGGUGAUCUGCCCUGUACUUCGGGAUAAGCUUGGGAAACUGGGUCUAAUACCGGAUAGGACCAUGGUUUAGUGUCUCAUGGUGGAAAGAUUAUUGUUUUGGUGCAGGAUGAGCUCGCGGCCUAUCAGCUUGUUGGUGGGGUAAUGGCCUACCAAGGCGUCGACGGGUAGCCGGCCUGAGAGGGUGGACGGCCACAUUGGGACUGAGAUACGGCCCAGACUCCUACGGGAGGCAGCAGUGGGGAAUAUUGCACAAUGGGCGCAAGCCUGAUGCAGCGACGCCGCGUGGGGGAUGACGGCCUUCGGGUUGUAAACUCCUUUCGUUAGGGACGAAGCCACGCUUUUUGGGUGUGGCGACGGUACCUUUGUUAAGAAGCACCGGCUAACUACGUG
rnacentral:rRNA from 1 species